AACGCCUCUAAGUCAGAAUCCAUGCUAGAAAGCGAUGAUUCUUGCCUCGCACAUUUUAGUUGGAUAAGAAUAAGGCUCUUCGAGUCGCUGAACCAUAGCAGGCUGGUAACGGUACACUUAACGGAAAGGUUUUGUGUGCUUGCCGGCGGAUAGCAAUGUCAUAAUGAGCGGGGAUAAAUCCUUUGCAUACGACUUACAUGUACAACGGAGUAUUGUAAGCAGUAGAGUAGCCUUGUUGUUACGAUCUGCUGAGAUUGAGCUUCAGUUGUCCGAUUUG
rnacentral:rRNA from 1 species